UACAGAGGGGGGCAAGCGUUGUUCGGAAUUACUGGGCGUAAAGGGCGCGUAGGCGGCCUGUUAAGUCGAACGUGAAAUCCCCGGGCUCAACCCGGGAACUGCGUCCGAUACUGGCAGGCUUGAAUCCGGGGAGAGGGAUGCGGAAUUCCAGGUGUAGCGGUGAAAAUGCGUAGAUAUCUGGAGGAACACCGGUGGCGAAGGCGGCCACCUGGACCAUGACUGACGCUGAGGCACGAAAGCGUGGGGAGCAAACAGG
rnacentral:rRNA from 1 species